UCAUCCACCACACUAAUCUUAAAGUACUAUGUACUUCAUCCAUCUGCAUAUAUCUCAAGGCAUACUUGUAUAGACUUAUUUCACAUAUCUCAAAUCACUUCAAACCACUUUGUUCAUAUGUACUCUGAAGAGGGUGACGGUAUUUUGGUCAUAUGGAAUGGUAGACUAACAUCGUUCUCGGGUCAAGAAACCAUAGGCCCAGCUUGAAACACUUUAGAAACUUGAAGGAUCCAUUGAAAUUUUAUAAAGUCAAGAGGGUGUCUCUAGGAUAGGCUCUAAGUUGAGGAGGUGUUUCUAUAAUUCUUUUUUUGAGAAAAAAAAACCUUUAGCAUACUACCUCAGCAAUAAAACAAAUAAAAAAUUAGUGAGAUAACCCUUCAAGUUUCUAUUAUUUACGGUUAGACCCUAAA
rnacentral:lncRNA from 1 species